rnacentral:rRNA from 1 species
UACGGAGGGUGCAAGCGUUAAUCGGAAUUACUGGGCGUAAAGCGUGCGUAGGCGGUUCGUUAAGUCUGUUGUGAAAGCCCCGGGCUCAACCUGGGAAUGGCAAUGGAUACUGGCGAGCUAGAGUGUGUCAGAGGAUGGUGGAAUUCCCGGUGUAGCGGUGAAAUGCGUAGAGAUCGGAGGAACAUCAGUGCGGAAGGCGGCCAUCUGGGACAACACUGACGCUGAGGCACGAAGCGUGGG